GUCGAGAAUUUUUCGCAAUGGGGGAAACCCUGACGGAGCGACGCCGCGUGGAGGAUGAAGGUCUUCGGAUUGUAAACUCCUGUCAUUUGAGAACAAGUGUUUCCGAGUAACUAUCGGGGACUUGAUAGUAUCAGAAGAGGAAGAGACGGCUAACUCUGUGCCAGCAGCCGCGGUAAUACAGAGGUCUCAAGCGUUGUUCGGAUUCAUUGGGCGUAAAGGGAGCGUAGGCGGUCGGGUAAGUCGGAUGUGAAAUCCUGGGGCUCAACCUCAGAACUGCAUUCGAUACUGCUUGGCUAGAGGACUGGAGAGGUGAGUGGAAUUCACGGUGUAGCAGUGAAAUGCGUAGAUAUCGUGAGGAAGACCAGCGGCGAAGGCGGCUCACUGGACAGUUUCUGACGCUGAUGCUCGAAGGCCAGGGGAGCAAACGGG
rnacentral:rRNA from 1 species